GAUGAAGAACGUAGCGAAAUGCGAUAAGUAAUGUGAAUUGCAGAAUUCAGUGAAUCAUCGAAUCUUUGAACGCACAUUGCGCCCCUUGGUAUUCCGAGGGGCAUGCCUGUUCGAGCGUCAUUAUCACCCCUCAAGCUUUGCUUGGUGUUGGGGCCUGCUGUAAUAGGCAGCCCUUAAAAUCAGUGGCGGUGCUUCAAGGCUCUAAGCGUAGUAAUUCUCCUCGCUAUAGUGUCUAGUGGUUGCCAGCCAGAACCCCCCAAUUUUCAUGAUUGACCUCGGAUCAGGUAGGGAUACCCGCUGAACUUAAGCAUAUCCAAUAAGCGGAGGA
rnacentral:misc_RNA from 1 species